AAAAUGACACCGUAACUUCGGGAGAAGGUGUGCCCUCUGUACGUGAAGCCCCUUGCGGGUGGAGCGGAAGAGGGUUGCAGAGGAACGGGGGUAGCGACUGUUUACCAAAAACCCAGCACUGUGCGAAGUCGGAAGACGACGUAUACGGUGUGAUGCCUGCCCGGUGCCGGAAGGUUAAGGGGAGUUGUCAGCCGCAAGGCAAAGCAGCGAACCGAAGCCUCGGUAAACGGCGGCCGUAACUAUAACGGUCCUAAGGUAGCGAAAUUCCUUGUCGGGUAAGUUCCGACCUGCACGAAUGGCAUAACGACUUCCCCACUGUCUCGAGCAGGGACUCAGCGAAGUAGCACUAGGGGUGAAGAUACCCUUUACCCGCGGCAGGACGGAAAGACCCCGUGAACCUUUACUGUAACUUGGCACUGAACUUCGGGUUCGUUUGCGUAGGAUAGGUGGGACGCUAGGAAGCAUGGACUCCGGUCUGUGUGGAGCGGCCGUUGAAAUACCACCCUGACGAAUCUGGAGUUCUAACCUGCACCCGUGAGCCGGGUGGGGGACAAUGCCUGGUGGGCAGUUUGACUGGGGCGGUCGCCUCCCAAAGAGUAACGGAGGCGCGCGAAGGUUCCCUCAGGCUGAUUGGAAACCAGCCGACGAGUGUAAUGGCAUAAGGGAGCUUGACUGCGAGACUGACAAGUCGAGCAGGUGCGAAAGCAGGUCAUAGUGAUCCGGUGGUUCUGAAUGGAAGGGCCAUCGCUCAACGGAUAAAAGGUACUCCGGGGAUAACAGGCUUAUCACGCCCAAGAGUUCACAUCGACGGCGUGGUUUGGCACCUCGAUGUCGGCUCAUCGCAUCCUGGGGCUGAAGUUGGUCCCAAGGGUUUGGCUGUUCGCCAAUUAAAGCGGUACGCGAGCUGGGUUCAAAACGUCGUGAGACAGUUUGGUCCCUAUCCGCCGUGGGCGCAGGACGCUUGAGAGGAUCUGUCCUUAGUACGAGAGGACCGGGAUGAACGGACCGCUAGUGUUCCGGUUGUGGCGCCAGCUGCAAUGCCGGGUAGCUAUGUUCGGAAGGGAUAACCGCUGAAAGCAUCUAAGCGGGAAGCCCACCUCGAGAUAAGGCGUCCCUGAGACUUCGGUCUCCUGAAGACCCCAUGUAGACCACGUGGUUGAUAGGCUGGGUGUGGAAGCGCUGCAAGGCGCGGAGCUAACCAGUACUAAUCGGUCGUGAGGCUUGACCAC
rnacentral:rRNA from 1 species